rnacentral:rRNA from 1 species
AGCGAACGCUGGCGGCGUGCUUAACACAUGCAAGUCGAACGUGAACGGGGCAACCCUAGUAAAGUGGCGUACGGGUGAGUAACACGUAGAUAAUCUACCCUAGAGUUCGGAAUAACCUGCCGAAAGGCGGGCUAAUACUGGAUAGAGCGACGGAAGCCGUAAAUGGUUUUUUCGGGAAAGGGAGCCUGAUAAGGGCCCUCGCUUUAGGAUGAGUCUGCGUCUGAUUAGCUAGUUGGUGAGGUAAUGGCUCACCAAGGCGAUGAUCAGUAGCUGGUCUGAGAGGAUGAUCAGCCACACUGGAACUGAAACACGGUCCAGACUCCUACGGGAGGCAGCAGUGGGGAAUCUUGCGCAAUGGACGAAAGUCUGACGCAGCCACGCCGCGUGAGUGAAGAAGGCCUUCGGGUUGUAAAGCUCUGUCGGGCGGGACGAAAAAUCUAACAGUUAAGAGCUGGUAGAUCUGACGGUACCGCCAAAGGAAGCACCGGCUAACUUCGUGCCAGCCGCCGCGGUAACAC